rnacentral:rRNA from 1 species
GACGAAGGGGGCUAGCGUUGUUCGGAAUUACUGGGCGUAAAGCGCGUGUAGGCGGUUUUCCAAGUUGGGUGUGAAAGCCUUGGGCUUAACCCAAGAAAUGCACUCAGUACUGGAAGACUAGAGGACCGGAGAGGAUAGUGGAAUUCCCAGUGUAGUGGUGAAAUACGUAGAGAUUGGGAAGAACACCAGUGGCGAAGGCGGCUAUCUGGACGGUUUCUGACGCUAAGACGCGAAAGCGUGGGGAGCAAACGGG